GGGUUGUGAGGUUAAGCGACUAAGCGUACACGGUGGAUGCCCUGGCAGUCAGAGGCGAUGAAGGACGUGCUAAUCUGCGAAAAGCGUCGGUAAGGUGAUAUGAACCGUUAUAACCGGCGAUGUCCGAAUGGGGAAACCCAGUGUGAUUCGUCACACUAUCGUUAACUGAAUACAUAGGUUAACGAGGCGAACCGGGGGAACUGAAACAUCUAAGUACCCCGAGGAAAAGAAAUCAACCGAGAUUCCCCCAGUAGCGGCGAGCGAACGGGGAG
rnacentral:rRNA from 1 species